rnacentral:rRNA from 1 species
GAUGAACGCUGGCGGCGUGCCUAACACAUGCAAGUCGAGCGAUUCUCUUCGGAGAAGAGCGGCGGACGGGUGAGUAACGCGUGGGUAACCUGCCUCAUACACAUGGAUAACAUACCGAAAGGUAUGCUAAUACAGGAUAACAUAAGAGAUUCGCAUGUUUCUCUUAUCAAAGCUCCGGCGGUAUGAGAUGGACCCGCGUCGCAUUAGCUAGUUGGUGAGGUAACGGCUCACCAAGGCGACGAUGCGUAGCCGACCUGAGAGGGUGAUCGGCCACACUGGGACUGAGACACGGCCCAG